UUGUUUCAAAUUCCGUUUCCUUUAAAAUAUUCAAAAUUCUAGUUUGGCUUAAUUAAAAAUUUUAAAAAUGAAUAGAUUACUUGCUAUAAAGAAGCAUCUAUCAUCACCUCAGCUCGGUAGAAAUUAUGUAUCCAAUAUUAAAGACAUGCAGAUUCAAGUUAGACAUGCUAAAACUGAAGCUCUAGUGGACAGUAUGUCUCCACCUGAUAUGAAAAAACUAAAUAAUUACUACGAGAAUCAGACAAAGGAAUCAGCUGAACACACGAAGAGAUGGCGACGUGCUUCUAGCAGAGCUACCAGACGUGAUGGUGCAUCAACUAACGAAUUUAAUAUGUCUGAAUCUAAAAAGAAGUCCUUACUUAAUUCUGUACUUAAGCCAAAGUCUGAAUUUGCAUAUAAAAAUUUAGUAAAGGAAUACGAUAGCACAAAAAGAAUUUCACGGUACGAAGAGCAUUCCUUUCCCAAAUAUUAGUGAACACUUGCGAAAAUUUGAAAAAUGAAUAGGACAAGAAAAUUGUCAUGAUACGAUAAUGACUUCCUUUGUCGGAUAAUAGUGAAUCAUUACAUAAAUUUGAAGAGUACUGACCAAUUAAUUGAAUAGGGCAAGAAAAUUCUCACGAUACGAUAUCGACUUCCUUUGCUGGAUAGUAGUGAAUCAUUACAUACAUUUGAAGAGUCUUGAGUGCUAUUGGUUAUAAGAUAGAGCAUUAGCAAUGAUAACUGCAAGCUUAAAUAAAUUUUAUUCUUUGUUCUAAGAAGAGUUUUUGUUGAAUAUGACAAAAUCAUUGGGUUAUUUAUUACUGCCGCUCAAUUCUAUGAAAUUGGAAAAGUUUUUGGAAACUAAUUUCAAUAAAGUUUGCACUUCAUAAAGACCAUCGACGAUAAAGGCGAAGAAAGUAAGACUACCUUAAAAGUAAGGGAGCUGAAUUUUUUAAAGGUAACUGCACCAAAUAUUGUGAUACAAUUAAUACAGCAGCCAGAAUUGACAACUAUGCACCAUAUGCUCUGUGAAGACCCCGAAGGUACACAACACCAACAAUAUCGUGACAAAUAUGUUUACAGUAUUGCAUGAAGCCAAUCCUCAAAUUUUUUAUGAUGACGAAUGUAUGACAAAACAAUCGUUUGGAUUUUUACUGUUCCAAAUAGUAAGCUAAAUAAUGUCUAAAAAUUACUGACAGCAAACAAUGAUAUCAAGACUCAAAUCCAACUUAUGUGCUUAAUACGAGCAAAUGAUCACAAAAAUAUCGUCGCAUUGAAUUUGAUGGUUUGAGUAAAAAUUCUCAGGAAAAUGAGUCCACAGCAAGCGCAAUAUUGUUUGUAAAUGACCUAAGCAAUAGCAAAGUAGAAGUGAAAAUGAAUAUGACGGCUUUAAAUAUAAUAUAUCACCAUCUCAAAUAGUACACCACACAAUAAAGACUCAAAGCGUCACAAUGAAUUUGAUGGUGGUACAUAAAUAUCGUGUAGAAGAUGAGUUCCUAGCAUGUUGAGUAUUAGUUUCUUCGUCCUCAGUAUCUCAUAUUGAAGACCAUAUAGUAAGCACUGCCAUCCAGCAUCAAUCAAACGCAUAUAGAAAAAGAUGUGACGACAAAAGUAACCUUGCAAUGAAUCUGAUGACUCCAAAUCCACGGUCCUAGCUUCUCAUACAAAGACCGUUUCAAUUUCGCACCUUAUUUCUUAAAUUUCCUGGUCGACACUGUCAGAAUAUAAGUAAGAAGAUUAUAAUACAACAGGUCAGAGAUAUACCUGUAACCCCAGAAGUGAAAUGCUACUGAUUUGCAUGUUACUACGAAGCAGUGAUCAAAAAUUUGUUUUUAUCUAAUGUAAGAAUAUUUAAGCAUGUAUUAAGGUAUGAAUAAAAAAAUAUUAAUAACUAA